CCCUUAGAUGUUCUGGGCUGCACGCGCGCUACACUGAUGCGCUCAACGAGUUUAUAACCUUGUCCGGCAGGAUUGGGUAAUCUUCUUAAAACGCAUCGUGAUGGGGAUAGAUUAUUGCAAUUAUUAAUCUUCAACGAGGAAUUCCUAGUAAGCGCGAGUCAUCAGCUCGUGCUGAUUACGUCCCUGCCCUUUGUACACACCGCCCGUCGCUCCUACCGAUUGAGCGAUCCGGUGAAUAAUUCGGACUGCAGCAUUGUUCAGUUCCUGAACGUUGCAGCGGAAAGUUUAGUGAACCUUAUCACUUAGAGGAAGGAGAAGUCGUAACA
rnacentral:rRNA from 1 species